rnacentral:lncRNA from 1 species
GAAGGAGCAUGAAGGACAGAGAGCAGCUGUGGAAACUGGACAGGCUCUGGUCUCAGGGGAGACCACUGCGGGCAGGGGCCUGGAGGUCUGCGUCCCACCUCAUUCUCCUUCUGCGACUCAGCUCCCCCUGUUUGGGUCUCCGUUGUCCAAACAGACCGAGGAAGCCAGACAGCAAACCAGCCUGGGAGAUGAAGCCCAUGGAGCUCAGUGUGGGGCGCUGAGAGGAGGGGAGGCGUCCAGCAUACUUGUGGGGGGUCAAAGGCACAGUGUUUAGAGGUCCCCACAAGCUUCUUGGAGAGAUGGAGGUCAUGAGAAACUCAGUGAAGAAAGGAUAUUCUUCUUAAAGGCAUACAGAAUAGGAGACUUUACCUCCAGGAAAACAUCAUGGCAUGGAAAAAAUUCUUCGGAUUCAAAAGACAGCGUAUUUUCUGCCUUCCGUGACCUCAGAGUGGGGAGGAUACGCCAGCAGCAGGGAAGUGAGCUGGGUUGGACCCACCAAGAUUGCUGUGGGUCCCACGCCUGGGGAGAAAGAUGACUCAGACUUGUCAGGCUGCUUUCAAUUCAGUUUACUACCAAACUGGAGCCAACACCUGGUGUGAAGGACAAACCCAGGAUUAGGAAGAGGCUACUUCGGCACAAAGGUGUUUCUGGGUUCAGAGGUCUGAGAAGCCUUCAGGAGAUGAAGACUCUCCCAGGGAGAGGGACUCAGGACCCUGGACUCUUGCCUCAACUGUACUCCAGGCUGCAGGAUGACAGGAGACUGCCCCCCAUCACCUGCCCUGGUGUUCCCCAGAGGUUGUCAAAAACAGGGAUUCUGGCCGGGCCAGCCCUACAAGCUUCCUAGUUCUUUCUUUACUACUUCGUAUUAGUCUCACUACUGCUACCACCAGAAAUGACAUUCAGUAGCCUUGACAUACAAAGAAUAAUAUAUGCAUGUCAAGGCUACUGAAUGAUCUCUCUCUUCCUCUCUCAUCUCUUCUGUUCUCUUCUCAGGGGAGAGAAGAGAUGAGAGAGGAAGAGAGAGAGAGAGGAGAGAAGGAGAGAAAGGGAGAGAGGGAGAGAGGGAAGGAGAUAGAGAUAGAGAAAGAGGAGAUAGAUAAGAAGGAGGAGAAAGGGAAGAAAGAGAGAGAGAGAGAGAGAGAGAGAGAUUCAUAGAUUCUAGGCUUACAGUCAGCACAGCUCACCAGGAAUGAAAAAUGACCCAGAGAAAAUGCCCAUGUCCAACAUCUAAGCUGAUAGAAACAAAGGGCCCUGGGUUUUAAGAAUGGCAGGGAUUGUGUACAUCCGCACAGACCAAGCUGGCCCUUGAAGUCAUGUGCUGGGGGAUGUGGAGGUACCCAGAAACACAGCCCUGGCACAGCUUGGGGCUAGACCUCAGCACUGUGGCACAGAAGCCAAUGGCAAGGUGGAGAAGAUGCCGGUGAACAACAGAUGUUAAUUUUUACCUGCCCAGCAGAAGAGAGGCUUAAACUCGAAAAAUAAAAUUAUGUUUCUUUAAUCCUUAAGUUUGUGAACUGAGUUUCAUAUGUCUUAUGCCCAUGAACGAUUUUCUGCAUUUGUGGAGUUAAUAGUUUUGACCUUGAGAAUCAGUCAGCCCUUUUCCUUUUCUCCUCAUUGACUUUUCAAGGUGCUUUUAAUUUGAUCUUAUUGCCCAAAGUCCAUACUGCCACACUUGAAUUGCUGUUGACAACCAGGUAAUUUAAUCACAGCUCCUAUUCUGCAUUUAGUCCCAGGUAUGAAUCUGCACAUGGUAUGCUCAUGUCUUAUAAUUAGUAAAACUUAAAGCAAUGUAUCAUAUUAUCUUUUUAUUUCUUUUGUAAAAUCACAUUCGAUCCCCUUCUAAAUGUCCUUAAUAAAUAAAUAAAUAUCUUAGUGUUGUACAUAUUGGAUUAUUUUGAAAGCAUUUCCAUUAGGAGAGUACUGAUUUGUUCAGGGAAUGAGUGGAAAAAAGUGUGGAAAUUGGAGCAUUAGGCCUUAUCAGUCAUAUUGUGCCAUAUUGGUAGAAAUACUUUCUUUGGAUUGUUACUUUUUACUGGCAAAAAUAGUACUGUGUAAAUGUCAUCUUAAAAAUACAUUGCAUGCAUCAAUGUCAAGGCUGUAUGAUUUUUUCCAUAUGGAAGAGAGUAAGUCUCAUAAGAGUUAUCUUCAUUAUAGAUUCUCCAAGAUGACUUGCAGCUGUCUGUGUGGACUUUAAAAACUGAGCACAACUGAACAUAAAUUAUUUGAAAUACAUUUGUUGGCAAUUAUACUGUAGAAUCCUUGACUUGAUUGCAACAAUUGCUUUUUAAGCUACUUGGAAAUGUUUAUUCCUUAAAAGGAGUAAUAAAACUCUCAAAAAUUCAUCUACAAUUUUAAAUAGAAAUAAACAAAUAUGUAUAUAUGUGGGGGGGGUGUGUGUUUACAGAAAAUAUAAGGUCAGGAUGAUUCCAGGGAUGGAUUAUCAUUUUAAUAUUUAAUAUGUUGUGAGAUUAUCAUAUCCCUUUCAUGAUCAAAAUAAUAUUUUCUCUAUUCUUUUCUCGAACAAAAUACAAUACCAUCUGUAGUUUGAGUGUUUGGAACUCAGAAAAUAAAUGUGAAAUCACAAUGGUA